UGAGUAUCCUUGUUUUCUGAUCCCCUGAACUGAAUAAUGUUGUCAUGUUUAUAUAAUAAUUGACAAAGGAAUUACAGUGGAGAGGAUCAGCGAGAAGAAGGUGGACGAUAGGGGACAAGAAAAAAAGGUGGGGACACUGGACAAAGAUUGGAAACGGAAUUCAGGAAUUUAGAAUGAAAUACAAGAAGACCCUUACCCAGCCCUGGGACAUUGGUGAUUGAUUUCAUAGAUCGAUUGAUUGGACUCCCUACAUAUCCACGUAAAUUCUAAAGUAAGAUCAAAAACCAUAAAAAUAUACUAGCUUUUGACGGUUUUAUAGAUAUUACAGAAUUAUGAUGCUAGGUGUUUACUCUCUUUUACUCUUUCACUUGUUUCAGUCAUUUGACUGCGGCCAUGCUAGAGCACCACCUUUUAGUCGAGCAAAUCGACCCCGGGACUUAUUCUUUUUUGUAAGCCCAGUACUUAUUCUAUCGGUCUCUUUUGCCGAACCGCUGAAGUGACGGGGAUGUAAACACACCAGCAUCGGUUGUCAAGCAAUGCUAGGGGGACAAACACAGACACACAAACACACACAUACAUAUAUAUAUAUAUAUAAAUAUACAUAUAUACGACGGGCUUCUUUUCAGUUUCCGUCUACCAAAUCCACUCACAAGGCAUUGGUCGGCCCGGGGCUAUAGCAGAAGACACUUGCCCAAGAUGCCACGCAGUGGGACUGAACCCGGAACCAUGUGGUUGGUAAGCAAGCUACUUACCACACAGCCACUCCUGCGCCUAUUAUUUUCCAUUAUUUUGUCAAACCCCUGUAUUUUAUUGUCCACUAAUCUAAAUAAUAUAACACAAUAAUAAUGAUAAUAAUAAUAAUGAAAUUAUCGUAUACAGUGCUCAGGUGCACCACAACUUGUCAGAAAGUGCAUAUAAAGUACAUGCAGUAAUGUACAAAUGUCUGGAAAGUGAACAGUGUAUGAGUCAGAUACAUGCUUGUGUGUGUAUGGAGGGGAGAAAAUCAAGUGUAGUGUUGGCGAAUCUCAGGAAGCAUGGAAGUUUUGAAGGAUGCAGUGCUCCGACAACUAACAACCGAUGCCGGCAGUUUGUUCCAUGCUUCAGCAACUCUCAGCGUGAAAAAAUGUUUCCUGAAGUCAUGGGAGCUGUGCUGUUUUCUGACUUCGCAAACAUGCCCACGUGUGUUAGAUGGGUGGAGUUUGAAAAGGUGCUCAGAGUUAUUGUUUGUACGAUGGUUGAUAAUUUUAUGGGUGUCUGCAUAUGCAGUAAUGUACAAAUGUCUGGGAAGUGAACAGUGUAUGAGUCAGAUACAUGCUUGUGUGUGUAUGGAGGGGAGAAAAUCAGGUGUAGUGUUGGCGAAUCUCAGGAAGCAUGGAAGUUUUGAACGAUGCACUGCUCCGACAACUAACAACUGAUGCCAGCAGUUUGUUCCAUGCUUCAGCAACUCUCAGCGUGAAAAAAUGUUUCCUGAAGUCAUGGGAGCUGUGCUGUUUUCUGACUUUGUAAAUAUGUGAAGGUGUAGCUGUAUUUAUCAAAUAUGUAAGCUACACACAUGAUUCAAUGAUGCAAAUUUUAAUAAAUUAAAAAGUUCAGUUGUUCAAGUAAAUGUUUAUUUCUAAAGUUUAUCUCUGUAGAAAUGUUGUAAGAUUUUCCCCCAUUUAACAGUAUUUUUAAGUAGCCUUUAUAUCUUACACUGUUGUUUAUUUAUUAUUUCAGAAUAUCAAAUAAAUUUGACAUAACAUGAUAUAUUCUCAAUAUAUAUCAUCGUUUGAAGACCAAGGGAAUAUGUUGUCCAGAACAGAUUUAUGAAAAAAAUUUCUGUAUAUCUGUGGUAGAAUCCUGUGGAAUAUUUGCUCUGAACUGAGAUUCUUUGCACUAGUUCUGUACAUAAUUGUCUGGAAUGUCUAUGAGCUGAAUA
rnacentral:lncRNA from 1 species